rnacentral:rRNA from 1 species
AACCCUUAUCUUUAGUUACCAUCAUUCAGUCGGGACUCUAAAGAUACUGCCCCGGUCAACGGGAGGAAGGUGGGGAUGACGUCAAGUCCUCAUGGCCCUUAUGUCCAGGGCUACACACGUGCUACAAUGGGCAGUACAAAGGGUAGCAAGCCUGCGAAGGUGAGCCAAUCUCAAAAAGCUGUUCGUAGUUCGGAUUGGAGUCUGCAACUCGACUCCAUGAAGCUGGAAUCGCUAGUAAUCGCGGAUCAGCAUGCCGCGGUGAAUACGUUCCCGGGCCUU